rnacentral:rRNA from 1 species
UGGGGAAUAUUGGACAAUGGGCGCAAGCCUGAUCCAGCCAUGCCGCGUGAGUGAUGAAGGCCUUAGGGUUGUAAAGCUCUUUCAGUGGGGAAGAUAAUGACGGUAGUCGGAGAAGAAGCCCCGGCUAACUUCGUGCCAGCAGCCGCGGUAAUACGAAGGGGGCUAGCGUUGUUCGGAAUCACUGGGCGUAAAGCGCACGUAGGCGGAUUGUUAAGUCAGGGGUGAAAGCCUGGAGCUCAACUCCAGAACUGCCCUUGAUACUGGCAAUCUCGAGUCCGGAAGAGGUAAGUGGAACUGCGAGUGUAGAGGUGAAAUUCGUAGAUAUUCGCAAGAACACCAGUGGCGAAGGCGGCUUACUGGUCCGGUACUGACGCUGAGGUGCGAAAGCGUGGGGAGCAAA